rnacentral:lncRNA from 1 species
AUGAUGAUCAAAAAAAAAAAAAAAAAAAAAAAAAUCAGUUUUGUGUCUUCUGUACUUCUUUUUGAAUCUCUUGGGAUAGUUGAUUUGCAUUUACAUUCCGUGUGAAAUUUCGACAAGAUAAUCAUCCCCAUCUUCUUCAACCUUCUUAAAAGGCACUCUGUACUCAUUCGCCAUCUUUCUUAUAGCACCAACUGGUCCAGU